UACGUAGGGUGCGAGCGUUAAUCGGAAUUACUGGGCGUAAAGGGUGCGUAGGCGGUCGGGUAAGUCGGAUGUGAAAUCCCAGGGCUCAACCCUGGAACUGCAUUCGAUACUGCCUGGCUAGGGUACUGGAGAGGAGACUGGAAUUUACGGUGUAGCAGUGAAAUGCGUAGAUAUCGUAAGGAAGACCAGUGGCGAAGGCGAGUCUCUGGACAGUUACCGACGCUGAGGCACGAAGGCCAGGGGAGCAAACGGG
rnacentral:rRNA from 1 species